UUUUCUCCUCGCGUUGAAAUUUAUCCCUUCUAAUAAUUUUCCUCUGCUUCUUCUUCAUCUUCCUUCUCUGUAUCAUUCUUUUAAAAGAAACAUUCUCUUCGACUUCAACAAUAAAAAAAACUCUCAUGGGAUUCUUAAAAUUAAGAAUCAGUGAAAAUCUCUCUCCUUUCAGUUCAGCAAUAUAAAGGAGCGGUUCUUCGGUUCGUUGAAACCAAUUGUGUUAGAUAGCUAAUAGUCAAUAAUCUGAUAAAGGUCAAGAUUCGUGUAGAUUUCUAUUCACGAUGAAUAAUGAAGAUGGUACAGUAAUGGCAGAUAGCUCGUGAGCUGGUUUUAACUUUAUCCUUAUGAAUCUAGUGGAGGAGGAAGGACUUGAGCUGUUUUCGGUUGGACAUUAAUUUUUACCAAGUUUCUCCUUAUUGCAUCUUUGUUGUGGAAUCAUUCUCCUCUCUUCUUCUAGCUUUGAUCAAACGAUCGUCAUAGAUUGUUUCUCAUAAGAUUCCUUGUGAAACCUUUAUCAAAAUUUGGCACUUACCUUACAGUCUAGAAUUGUCUUUUGGGUUUGUAGAUUUCUUUUAAGCUCUGUUAAAAAUGGGAUGCUUUGCAUCGACGCCGAAAGAUUCUGGUGGGAACAGAAGAAAGCCAACAAGCAUCGGUGAGGUUUCAGUAUAUGUACCCGGUUUAAGGAUACCGAGGCCCGUGGAGUUUUCGCAGUCACUUGGUGAUCAAUUGCCAAAGACUCUAGUGGAACGCUUGACAGCUUUAAGAACGCGUAUAGUAGUGAUGGCUAAUCAAGAAGGACCGACAAUAACGAGAACUAGGAGAAAGACACAACAUGGAGGUUCAACGCUCUCAGAUCUCCAUCAAGCCUUGGUAGACUAUCUACCUGUUCUUUUGGGAUUAACUAAAGAUGGUAGCCAUCUACAGUUUAAAGUACAUUUUAAUUGGGUAAAUCAAGAGGAUGAGGAAGAGGAAACAGCAAUGUCAAACGUUUGGUAUGAAGUUUUGUCUGUUUUGCAUCUAAUGGCAAUGCUACAAAUGUCACAAGCCAAUUUACUGCUUCUUCCUAGAGGUUCUACUGAUGGCCACAACCAUCCAAAAGUAUCAGAAGAAAACAGACGAGCUUCGAUUGAUAUCUUCUUAAAGGCAGCUGGAUAUCUUGACUGUGCCGUUAAGCAUGUUCUCCCUCAGUUUUCUGCUGAGCAAAGGAGAAGUUUACCGGUCGACCUAGCGGAAGGAGUUCUACGAGCUCUUUGCUUGCAAGCACUAGGCCAGGGUGUUGAUAUCCAACUUGGCAUGGCGAUUGAUAGCUCAAAGGCCACUCUUGCAGUAAAACGAAGACUUUCAUGUGAAAUGGUGAAAUAUUGGCAGCAGGCACAAGAUAAUUUAAUGAAUCUUCCAUUAGCAAAUGGUUGGGGAGAAAAGCAUAGACUCUUUGUUAAGUGGAAGUAUGUUGAAGCUAAGAUUCUCCGUCUCUAUGAGAUACGUAGCUUCGGAUUUCGCUUAUAUAAACCCAUCAUUAUUAAGAACAAUGAAGCUUUUAAAGGAGACAUGAGCUUAAAUGCGAUAGGCAAUUAAGGUCCACUUGUCUAAUGUCUUGUCAUAUUCUGGAAUCUUUUGGAUCAGGCUGCGGCUUACUACUAUCACGGUUUGAUUCUUGAUGAAGGAAACACAGAGAAAUCACAUGGCAUGGCAGUUGCUGCUUUACAAGCUGCAGAUGAAUGUUUCAAAGAAAGUAAGAAAGCAUCCGAAGCAUUCAACGCCUCUUCACCUACUUCAAGGACACCACCGCUUUUUGGGACAAUGAAGUAUCUAACAGAGAAAAUCCCGAAAGAUACUUCGAGUAAAGUCAGGAUAAACCGUGAUCUAUACUCUUAUGAAAAAAUCAUGGAGACGGCACCAACACUUCCUGAUUUCGCUUUGGCAUUGAAACCGGAUGAGUAUCAACUUCCUCUCGUUGAAGCUUCCGUAGUCUGAAGAUGCUCAAAACGCUUCAAACCAGCAAUCGAAGAUAGAGAUGCGUUAACCUUAUAGAGCAAAAGAAUCAGUGGUUUCCAAUGGCUGCCUGCAAAAUUGUGGUAUGGUUAUAGAAUUUACGCGACCGGUUUCUAUGAUCUGAUCUCUGUUGUUUGUGAGAAAGAAAAAAAACACUUAACAAAUUGGGUUUGGGUCAAUUUACAAGGAAGAGAUCUUUGUAUGUUAAUGUAACAAAAUAUUUCUGCAAUAAAGUAUCAUUUCUG